GAGGGUAUAUCUCAGUGGUAGAGUGUGUGCUUGGCAUGCAUGAGGUCCCAGGUUCAAUCACCAGUACCUCCA
rnacentral:tRNA from 1 species